rnacentral:pre_miRNA from 1 species
GUUUUAGACAAUCUGUCUUACAGUAGGGAUAAAUUACUCUAAAAGAAAAGAAUAUUCAUCAUUUUCCGUUGAACUCAAGUUUUUUGU